CAGAUUUCUGGGUUUGGUCCAUUUUGAAUAAAAUUAGGGAAUGCUGUGGAUGUAGCGUACCUGGAUUUCAGUAAGGCCUUCGACAAAGUCCCCCACGACCUUCUGGCAAAC
rnacentral:lncRNA from 11 species